UAAAGAACACACCAGUCUGGAGGC
rnacentral:piRNA from 1 species